rnacentral:lncRNA from 1 species
UAUUACAUGAUAUUUCAAUAUAAUUAGAUAUAUGAGAUUUUUUAAAUUAAAUUACUAUUGAUCCUGUAUUUUCACGUUUGGUUUGAUGCAGCAAUAUAAUGCUAUAUUACAAUAUAUAUAAAAUUAUUGGCUAGAGCUACUAUACUCUUAUGAGUAUAGAACCCUUCAUACUUAUAAGUUGUUCUGAUGAAGCUUCUAAAUCGACGAGCCACUUCGUUAAAUGUGAUCUAAAGUAUUUGAAACUUUUAGAAAAUAAAUUUCGUAAUUUUUUGAAAUCAUAAUAAAGUUCAUCAAGCGGGUAUAAAAUGAACGGUCAAAAUCGAACGACGCCUUAAAAAUUAAUGAUCGGAUCCUGCAAUUUAAGAUCGGAGUUAUUAAUCUUUAUCUAUGUAGUGAAUAGAAUUUUCUAUCAAAAAUUCAACCGAUUCCGAUUUUUUUACACUGUUAAACUAGCAAGUAUUCCAUACCGGCCGUUAAAAAUUAUUAAUUUUGUGACAUUUUGAUCGUAAAGUAAAUGAUGUCGAAAAAUUAUAAAAUUUGAAUUCUACACGUUUUAAAUGAUCUAGAUAAUAUUUAACGGUGUGUAUCGUUGAUUCGGAAGCUCUAUCAUCGAAAUUAAACAACUUAUGAGUGUGAGGGCGAUCGUACUCAUAAGAGUAUAGUAGCCGGGCACUAAAAUUAUUAUAUUUGGUUCAUUUUAUAAAAUUUAGUAAAUUUGACAAUAAAAUAUAGUCUAUUACACAAUUGUCCUUAUGUUAUAUUUGGCAAAAUGUAAAAUUUGAGAUAGAAAUAUGAAGUUUAAAAAUUUAAAAAUUAAGAAUUAAAAAUUUAAAUAUAAAAUAUAAAUUUAAAAAUCUAAAAUUGAAAUUUAAAAUUUAAAACAUAAAUUUAAAAUUUAAAAUUUAAAAUUUUAAAAUAUGAUUAAAAUUUUAAAAUUAAAUAGUAAAAAAAUUAAAUUUUAAAAUUUGAAGUUUAAAUUUACAAUUUGGUAAUUCAAAAGUUUAAAUAAAAUUUAAAAAAUGACAUAUACAAAGAGUUUAGAGGUGGGAGGCAAAAACUUACAAUUUUUUAAAUCAUGCAGAUUACUCACCAUAAGUAAUACAAAAUACUUAUCCCCUACUCCGUAAUAUUUUUGGUAUAAUCCUGCACUAUUUGUAAUACUAUAUUACUGACUAGAUUACAGACUAAAUGAAUCAAAUGCAGGAGAAUAACCCGAACCAAACACGCCCUAAUAGUAUUUAAUUUA